UUCAAGUGCAGCUGUUAAUUCUUGUGUUCAACGUUUGACCAUUUGUUUUAUUUAAAAAUUUUUAUGAUUAAUAUUUUUAUCGUUAUUUGAUGAUAAAACAUAAAUAAUACUUUAUGUAUAACUUAUUUUUUUAAAAUUUUUUUUAUAAAUUUCUCAAAUAAAAUGAACGGUCAAACGUUAUACAUAAAACAUACAAUUACACUUAAA
rfam:Oryza barthii chromosome 6, whole genome shotgun sequence.